AGCGAACGCUGGCGGCGUGCCUAACACAUGCAAGUCGAACGUGAAAGGGAGCAAUCCUGAGUAAAGUGGCGUACGGGUGAGUAACACGUAGAUAAUCUACCCUAGAGUUUGGAAUAACCUGCCGAAAGGCGGGCUAAUACUGAAUAGAGCGACGGAACUCGUAAACGAGUUUUUCGGGAAAGGGAGCCUGUAAGGGCCCUCGCUUUAGGAUGAGUCUGCGUCCCAUUAGCUAGUUGGUAGGGUAAAGGCCUACCAAGGCAGUGAUGGGUAGCUGGUCUGAGAGGAUGAUCAGCCACACUGGAACUGAAACACGGUCCAGACUCCUACGGGAGGCUG
rnacentral:rRNA from 1 species